rnacentral:rRNA from 1 species
GACGAACGCUGGCGGCGUGCUUAACACAUGCAAGUCGAACGGAAAGGCCCUGCUUUUGUGGGGUGCUCGAGUGGCGAACGGGUGAGUAACACGUGAGUAACCUGCCCUUGACUUUGGGAUAACUUCAGGAAACUGGGGCUAAUACCGGAUAGGAGCUCCUGCUGCAUGGUGGGGGUUGGAAAGUUUCGGCGGUUGGGGAUGGACUCGCGGCUUAUCAGCUUGUUGGUGGGGUAGUGGCUUACCAAGGCUUUGACGGGUAGCCGGCCUGAGAGGGUGACCGGACAGACGGGAACGGAGGCACGGUCCAGAGUCCUACGGGAGGCAGCAGUGGGGAAUAUUGGAGAAGGGGCGCAAGCCUGAUCCAGCCAGACCGCGUGGGGGAAGAAGGGCGUCGGGUUGUAAAGCACGUUUGUUGGGAAAGAAAAGCAGCAGGUGAAUACCCCGCUGUUCUGACGGUACCCAAAGAAUAAGCACCGGCUAACUUCGUG